rnacentral:rRNA from 1 species
GUCGAACGCUGGCGGCGUGCUUAACACAUGCAAGUCGAACGGAUAGACCCUGCUUUUGUCUGGUGCUCGCGUGGCGAACGUGUGAGUAACACAGGAGUCACCUUGGCUUGGCGUUGUGAUAACUUCAGAAAACUGGGGAUACUACCUGCUAGGUGCUCCUGCUGCAUGGGGGGGGUUGGACAGCUUCGGCGGAUAGGGAUGGACUCGCGGCUUAUCAGCUUGUUGGUGGGGUAGUUGCUUACCAAGGCUUUGACGGGUAGGCGGCCUGAGAGGGUGAACGGCCACAUUGGGACUGAGAGACGGCCCAGACGCCUACGGGAGGCAGCAGUGGGGAAUAUGGCACAAUGGGCGGAAGCCUGAUGCAGCAACGCCGCGUGCGGGAUGAAGGCCUUCGGGUUGUAAACCGCUUUCGCCUGUGACGAAGCGGGAGUGACGGUAAUGGGUAAAGAAGCACCGGCUAACUACGUG